GAUUGGAUCUAUGCGACAAUCCAGGAUCAUCUCACCAUAUCAAGAUACUUUAAUCAUAUUUGCAAUGACUCCUUUGCUAUAUAAGUUCUGCCACUUGGAAGACUGAUAGAGGAACCGAGCUUCAGGAGGAAACGUCGUCGUCAUUGGGUGAAUUGAAGCAAGCAUGCAUGUUGUGAACUGCCUACGGAGAGGGCCACAUGGCAAGGAACAGAGGGCAGCAGAGAGGGGCCGGCAGCUAGCAAAAAUAUGGAGACCUCAGUCCUAUAAUUGCAAGAGGAUGAAUUUUGCCAACAAUCUGAGGGAAUUUGGAAGCAGUUCUUUUCAAUUUUGGCAUCCAGGUGAGUAUGUAGCCCAGCUAACACCCUGCCUACAGCUUUGUGAGACCCUGAGCAGAGGGUUCAGAUAAACUGUGCCUGCCUCCUGACCCCUGGAAAAUGUGUAAAAUAAAUACAUGUUGUUUUAA